GUCAAAAUGUCCUUCCUGCUGAAACAGGAAGUGUGGUCAUAGUGUAAACAUGAAGCGGUAAGGGAGGAUUGAAAGGUGUUAUUUUAUGUUUUAAUGAAACUACUUGCAUAUUAAACUAUGCCCACAUUCUGGCAUGGAAAGACUUAUUGCUUCAGUGGCAUAUGAUAGGGUUACCAUAUUUUAGUUUUCCAAAAAGAGGACAGUAGGGGGCGGGGACAAGGGCUGGGCUUCGCCUAGCAGUAUACAUAGCAAGUUUUUUUUUUGGUAUUCUCUCUCUAUACAUUAAAAUAAAACUACUAUAAAAAGUACAAACCAUUAAUUUUUGUUGUAAGUGGGCAAACUUACAAAAUCAGCAGGGGGUCAAAUAAAUAUUUUCCCCACUGUACCUCCAUUACACAUUAUCAAAUAGAUUUGUUAUAGAUGUGUUGCAAAGAAGAAAUGCUUUGCUCCAGCAGCAGUAGACAAGCCUUUUGUGGAACAGGCAACUGGUGUAAGGAGUCUGUCCCAGAUCCAGACUUUGCAGGACGGGGAUCAGGAACUGUCUGCUUUGAAAUGUUGCUGAUAUUUCAGAGCAUUUGUCACUGAUAUCCAGUAUAAAUCACCAAGCCCUAAAACAGACCAAUCACAAACUCACACAGUCCAUGUCUCCAGCACAAACAAAGACCAACACAUAUGCACAGAACCAAGCCCUGUGUCUGCCACUGUCUACCAACCUCAGUCUCGAGAAAAAAAAGUGUUAUACCUAUGAAAGUGACAUUAAGCCAGUCCAUUGGCACACUAAGUGCAGCUUCGGCCCAAGGCUAUGUGGGUCUGUUACUGUAAGUGGAAGGAUAGAGGAAAUUUCAGAUGAAGAGAUAAAGAACAAUCCAGAGACUGAAGAGGGUGUACGGAAUAUUCCACGAUUUAAGAACUACCAGAGAGGAGUGCCAUCUAAUGUAAAUGUCACCAUUUCUCCAUUACUGAAUACAAGAUGUCAAAACCACUUGGUAGACAUCAUGUCCUGAGUCAUGAUUGUACAGUAUGUCUAAAAAAAUACUAAACCAUUUAUUAUUCUAAAAGACAUUCCAGGAUGAUUCUACAAUCGCCAGCAGCAGCACAGCAAGACUGUAAACUAGUUCUGCUGUUUGCUUGUCUGUACUUGUCUGCAUUAAUGAAAGACAGUAAAUCCAUGACACUAUCAUGAUUUGCAAAUACAAUUUAAGUGAUACGUUUUAAUUUAAUUUUUGGCACUUCAUUGCACUCCUGUGUUCAAGAUGUACAGUAAACAAUCAGCUGAAAAUUAACAUGUCUGGUGUUUGCUUGUUUACCUCUGCUUUCCUGAAAUAUAUACAAGGUUGUGCUCAAAGUCAAUGAACCCUACAUGUACAGGACUCACCAAUUACAUUUCAGUGUGAUAUCUUUCCAACUUAGUUACACAUUAAAAUGAAGUUAAAAUCAAUACAGUUGAGUUUCAGCUGGAGUGCUUCAAGUGCUUACACACAGCAUAUUGCUUUGAAUGUGGUUGCCAGCACAGACAUUUUGGGAUUCUUAGUGAAACAAAAAAUGACUCAUUUGUUGUGUGUCUUUGUGUGUCUUUCAUUAGAACAACAAAUGUUUGAGUAGGAGUAGCAGGGGAUCCAAACACAUCCUUCUACAUUUUUACCAUAAAAUAUACAGAUGCUUGGAUAAUUACCCAGAUCAUCACAUAUUUAUGAUGGUGCUUCCCAGGGAGAGAGGAAGACUGUGUUUUUAGCUGCUAGCCUUUCUGAGAUGUUUACUAUGUCUGCAGUGUAGAACAAAAAUAGAAGAGCUUUAUGAAAAGAGUUUGGGGCCAAAGACUAAUAAACAACCUUUAUUAGCCUAAACCUAAAUCUUC
ensembl:lncRNA